ensembl:lncRNA
AAUGUGUGUCAUUUCAAAUUGCAUUCAGUAAUUUUUUUUUUCUAUCAGAAUAGAUUCUUUUGGUCAAAGUCACAUGACUAAGGCAGAAAACAAUCUAAAGACUUUGGAAUGACUGUCUAAAUAUUGACAAUUACCAGCAUGUUUCCUCUAGGUCUCCUUGCUGAAAGCUACAUCGAGGAAUGACACACAGUCACGCAGCUCCGGAGCUUGGCAGCUGAGCACCUCUGGAUCUCUGGCCUUCAGCCUCCAGAGGAUAAUUCUUAAAUCUACAAACUGUCUCAUGCAGCAUUUUUUCCCCUCCUCCUCAAAUAAUAUCCAAUUACCGAGCACUGUGCUGGGAGAACCUGGGGAAAUGCUAGAAGGAAACACAGCUGAGAGCCACUGUGGUUUGACAGCUCUCCAGCUACUUUGAAAAUAUUUUGGCAAAAACAAGGUUUUAAGUAAAACUGUUUCCUUUGGUAACAUACCCAAAACUGCAGGUUUUACAUUUUCAGUAAUAUGAUUUGGGCCAAAAGAGGGGAAAGAAAAGAAAAAAAUGGGGAGGGGGACUAUUCUUAAGGGAGAAAGAUAGACUCUUUUAAAAAGAGGGGACAACUUUGCAUGAGAUGCAAGAAUGAGGGCAAGAAGGAAAGCUAUGGAGGCGUAUCUAACAUUCUCUCCUUACUUCUUUCCUCUACUGAGGAAUUUCCCCCUGUCAAAACACCACGUUCUCUUUUGCCCUCAGAUGACCUGGAAGGGAUUCUCUGGGGCUGACCAGGCUGGGAUUUGUAUUACUGCUUAUUAUAAGAUGAUCAAUAGUCAGUUGAGAAGGGUCCAACUGCAUAUGGCCAUCCCACAUUAUAGUAGAUACAGGGGGGAUGAAAUGGAAUGGUUUUCAUCUCAGCCCACUAGUUGGUCCUUUUAGAAUAGGCUUAUUUUUUUUCACUUCAUUUUCUCCUUGGUCACAACCACACAUGAAAUCCCUCACUUCUUGAAAAUGCUAGGCUCUCUCCUAUCUCAGGGCCUUUGUAAAUGCUGUUUUCUCUAUCUAGAAUGCUCUGCCCCCAACCUCCACCACUCUUUUUCAGGGAAUUCUUCCCUUGUCCUCCAGAUGACGUCAGCUUCUCAUGUCCUCUUUCUGGCUACCUGUUUACUUACUCCACAGUCAUCUGUAAAUACUGCAAGGGCUUGUCCAUCACAGUAUCUCUAGCAUAAUGUGGAGGCUUAAUUAAAAAGUAUCAACCAGUUGUCAGAUUGAACCUGCCUAACUUUGUCUUCUAUUUCUUAUUGUACUCCUUUCCUAAUAAGCUUUUCCUUCUUUGUUUUUGUUUCCCCUUAUAUUUCCCUCCCCUUUCUCUGUUCCUAUCAUGCUUUCUCCCCUCUCCAUAUUUUGAGGCUCUGCCUAAAGCAAGGUUUGUAGAAAACAUACUCUAAACUAAAGAAUGUUAACACGAGAAGGUGUUUCAAAGGUUAUUUAAUACAGUUCCUCCAAUUGUAUAAUUGUGCUCCAUUGUUCAAGGUCACACAGCUACUUGGGAAUAGAAUUUAGAACCUUAUAAUUCUGGCUCUAUGGUUAGUCUUCCUUUCAUUAUUGUAACACUAUAUAAAGUGUUAGAGGAGGAGGUGUCCCAAAAGUACUAGUCAUUUCUCUACAACACAAAUUCCCUAUCAACCCACAGUUGAAGUCUUGUUGAAGAGAAAAGAUCGCUUCCUUGGUCCUUCCUAGAUAGUUGCUAUUAUAAAAAUAAAACUUAAGGUCAAACUCUGUCCUCACUUCCCUCAGAUUCAAGAAGAUCCACCUGUCUCAGAGUGCUAAGGGCAAGAGUCAAGUCUGAUACUCAGUCCCUACAACAAAUGCCUAUGUAAAAGUGAACCCAAAGGUCCAAGACGCUGUCAAAAAGAGAAAGAAAUGGUGGUCUUCAUCAAUAAUGAUGAUAAUAACAAUAGCUAACUGACAUUUUUAUUACUGUGCAUCUGGAACUGUUCUAGGAACCUAUCUAAAUACACGUAUUUGCUCAUUUAUUCUCCCAACAACGGUGUGACUUAAGUACUAUUAUCCCCACUUUACAGUUGAUGAAACCGUGGCAUGAAAAUAUAGAAUAACUUGUUCAAGGUCUCGGAACAGUAAAUGGGCCUGAGAAAAUCUGGAGUCAAAACCUUGGGAAUGGUGAGUCCUUUCACAACUGCGUGUCUAACUGGCGAGUCUGUUCCUGAGGCACUGAACUAACUGAGAAUUUUGCUUUGUCUGUCUGUCUUCUUCCAAUAGUUUUCACUUAUUGCUAGUUUGGUUAUUUCAGGCAUUAGGACUGGGGUUGUAUCCUUUCUCACAAGCUGAAGAACCUGUCAAGGACAUGGUCUUAAUGGAAGUGAUGGGCAAGAGGCUCCUCAGAAAGCAGUUUUGUUUCUGCUUCAUCAUAGCACUUAGAAUAAAGCCCACGCCACCACAGCCUUGCACGAUCAGGGCCCUGCCCAUCGUCACUGUGGUCUCCAACCAGUCUCCCUUUUGCUCCCUGUAUUUUGUCCCAUGACUGGAUCCUUACUGUCAUUCAUAUCUCAGCUCAACUAUCACCACUCAGCAAAGCCUACCCUCUCUUAGUUCCAUACCCCACGAUUAGAAUGAUUUCAGGAUGGAAAAAAUUUAAAGCACUGAUAAGCCCUGAGCAACAAUGGCACCAGCAAAGAGAAAAGUAUUCCAUAAAUCUCC